AGUUGUAGAAAUAGAAAGGCGGGUGCAAAAAGGAAGAGGAUGCUCAUGGACGUGCUGCCAUCGGCCAUCCUUCCAGCCAUCGGUCCCUUGCCUUGGCUCAAGCGAAGCUACUGUUGGAGAGCUUCCAGAAAACCUGGGAAGAACUAGCCCCUGCGAGUGCACACCUGUGUAGUUGUCUCCUCUCCAACCAAGGAGGUUGGCUGGACCCUGCUUUUUGAAAGCUCUUCCCAAAAGUGGCCACCAGCCAUGGAAAAACCUCAUGUGGAUUACGGUUUUUGAACACCCGGGUCAAGUCCUUCAGGAUGCAUAUUGGGCAUACAUAUCCCUUUCUUCUUUUUAACAACAGCUGUCUUCCU